UGAUGACGUCACAGUGACCGGAAGCGGCCAUACUGUAUUCCUUACUUAGGACCACUGUCAUCAUAAUCAUCAUAAUUUUUGAAUACUCAUUCAAAUCAAGAAUAAAAGAACUACGAGAACAUUA